CGAUUGGUUCUAUUUUGUUGGUUUCUAGGACCAUCGUAAUGAUUAAUAGGGACGGUCGGGGGCAUCAGUAUUCAGUUGUCAGAGGUGAAAUUCUUGGAUUUACUGAAGACUAACUACUGCGAAAGCAUUUGUCAAGGACGUUUUCAUUAAUCAAGAACGAAAGUUAGGGGAUCGAAGAUGAUCAGAUACCGUCGUAGUCUUAACCAUAAACUAUGCCGACUAGGGAUCGGGCGGUGCCUUUUAUUGGCCCACUCGGCACCUUACGAGAAAUCAAAGUUUUUGGGUUCUGGGGGGAGUAUGGUCGCAAGGCUGAAACUUAAAGGAAUUGACGGAAGGGCACCACCAGGAGUGGAGCCUGCGGCUUAAUUUGACUCAACACGGGGAAACUCACCAGGUCCAGACACAAUAAGGAUUGACAGAUUGAGAGCUCUUUCUUGAUUUUGUGGGUGGUGGUGCAUGGCCGUUCUUAGUUGGUGGAGUGAUUUGUCUGCUUAAUUGCGAUAACGAACGAGACCUUAACCCUUAAAUAGAGUUGCUGGCAUUUGCUGGUAAAUCUUCUUAUGGGGACUAUCGAUUUCAAGUCGAUGGAAGUUUGAGGCAAUAACAGGUCUGUGAUGCCCUUAGACGUUCUGGGCCGCACGCGCCCUACACUGACGGAGCCAGCGAGCUUUUCCUUAACCGAGAGGUUUGGGUAAUCUUGUGAAACUCCGUCGUGC
rnacentral:rRNA from 1 species